CAGAGCAGCAAGCAGAGUAGGCAAGUGCUGAGGUUUGGCGUGAGUAGCAGCAAAAGCCCAUAGCAUCAAGAAGCAGGAAGUGAGGAGAAGGUAAGUGAAGGGCAGGCAAGGUAAUGGGAAGGCAGAAGGGCAAGGGGGAAAGGGGAGGGUAAGGAGAAAGAGGGGAGGGGGGGGAGGGGAUGGGUGAAGAGCAGAGCGGUAGGGAAGGGCUGAGGGGAGGGCUGAAGGGCAAAACCAAUGAUGAAAAAGAAAGAAAAAAUAAGCAAAAAAAUAAUGACAUAAAGAGAUAAAAAGAAAAGAAAAAUAAGGAAAAAAGAAAAAAGGUAGGAAAGAAAAAAAAUGAACAAAAAAGACAAAAAAGAGAAAAGAAAAAAAAUGAACAAAAAGAGAAAAAAGGAAAAGAAAAAAAUGAACAAAGAAAGAGAAAAAGAGAAAGAAAAAAAAUGAACAAAAAGAGAAAAAAGAGAAAAGAAAAAAAUGAACAAAAAAGAGAAAAAGAAGAAAAGCUAAAAAAAAGAAAAAAGAUAAAGAAAAAAAAAAAGAGAAAAUAGAAUAAAAAGAGGACAGAAAAUAUGAAAAAAAGAAAAAAGAAAUAAAGAAAAGAAAAAAAAAAUAGAUGAAAAAAAGAAAAAACGAAGGAAAAACUGAUAAUGACAAGAGAAGAAAGGUAAGAGAAAAGAAGAAGAAAAAGCCCAAGUCAAAAAGUAAAGAAUAACUCGAAGGAAGGAGUGGAUGGCAAGAAAUACAGGGAAAGCAAUGCAUAGCACAGCAAAGCAAAGCAAGGCAAAAUAGCAGCCAAAGCCACGAGAAUCAAGAAGUCAGUGAAGAGCAGGAAAGGAAUGGAGGAAUCUGGCCAGAGCUGUGCCCCUGCUUGCCACAGGAGCUGCGCGGGAGGAGAAGAAUGUGGGCCAAAAGGUAAGAGGAGCUCCUUUGGGUUCUGGGCUUGAAGCAAAGCUGAGAAGCCAUGCCCGGGAGGAGGUGUGGGUAGCUACAGGCCACCUUGCUAUCUCCCCAAGAGAUGAGGUGUGUGGGCUAGGCACCGGGCAGGAGUGCUGGCCAGAAGCAAGCAUCUCUGUGGAGGAAGGCAAAGGGCGGAGGAGGUUCAAGGGUAGCUACCGGGCAUGGCCUUGCUCAGCAAGGGGAGGAAAAGCCUGAAGGGCACGAGAAGGGGACAGAGAAGGGCAGGCAGUAGGCGUGAAGCUGUGAGCAGAGUAGAGAGCAACUUGGCAGAGCAGCAAGCAGAGUAGGCAAGUGCUGAGGUUUGGCGUGAGUAGCAGCAAAAGCCCAUAGCAUCAAGAAGCAGGAAGUGAGGAGAAGGUAAGUGAAGGGCAGGCAAGGUAAUGGGAGGCAGGCAAGGGGAAAGGGGAGGGUAAGGGAGAAAGAGGGAUGGGGAGGGGAGGGGAUGGGUGAAGAGCAGAGCGGAGGGAAGGGCUGAGGGAGGGCUGAAGGCAAACCAAUGAUGAAAAAAGAAAAGAAAAAAUAAGCAACAAAAAAUAUGAAAUAAGAGAAAAAAGAAAAGAAAAAUAAGAAAAAGAGAAAAAAGGAAAAGAAAAAAUGAACAAAAAAGAAAAAAAGAGAAAAGAAAAUGAACAAAAAAAGAAAAAAGAGAAAAGAAAAAAUGAACAAAAAAGAGAAAAAAGAGAAAAGAAAAAAUGAAAAAAGAGAAAAGAGAAAAAAAAUGAACAAAAAGAG
rnacentral:lncRNA from 7 species